GGGCCAUGGCUCAGUCAUAGAGCAUCUGCUUUGCAUACACAAGGUUCCAGAUUCAAUCCCUGGCAUCUCCA